rnacentral:rRNA from 1 species
CCUACGGGUGGCAGCAGUGGGGAAUAUUGCACAAUGGGGGAAACCCUGAUGCAGCGACGCCGCGUGAAUGAAGAAGUAUUUCGGUAUGUAAACCUCUAUCAGCAGGGAAGAAAAUGACGGUACCUGACUCAGAAGCCCCGGCUAACUACGUGCCAGCAGCCGCGGUAAUACGUAGGGGGCAAGCGUUAUCCGGAUUUACUGGGUGUAAAGGGAGCGUAGGCGGUUUGGCAAGUCAGAUGUGAAAGCCCGGGGCUCAACUCCGGGACUGCAUUUGAAACUGUCGAACUGGAGUGCAGGAGAGGUAAGUGGAAUUCCUAGUGUAGCGGUGAAAUGCGUAGAUAUUAGGAGGAACAGCAGUGGCGAAGGCGGCUAACUGGACCGUAACUGACACUGAGGAGCGAAAGCGUGGGUAGCAAACAGGAUUAGAUACCCCUGUAGUC